ensembl:lncRNA
CCCCAUCACACUGUGGUGUCCCCAUCCUUCUGUGGUGUCCCCAUCCCACUGUGGUGUCCCCAUUACUCCAUGGUGACCCCAUCACCCCAUGGUGUCCCCAUCCCCCCACAAUGGCCCCAUCACCCCAUAAUGUCCCCAUCCCCCCACAAUGUCCCCAUCCCAUUAAAGCGUCCCCAUCCCACUGUGGUGUCCUCAUCCCCCCAUGGUGACCCCAUCCUUCCAUGGUGUCCCCAUCCCCCCACAAUGUCCCCAUCCCAUUAAAGCGUCCCCAUCACACUGUGGUGUCCCCAUCCUUCUGUGGUGUCCCCAUCCCACUGUGGUGUCCCCAUUACUCCAUGGUGACCCCAUCACCCCAUGGUGUCCCCAUCCCCCCACAAUGGCCCCAUCACCCCAUAAUGUCCCCAUCACCCCACAAUGUCCCCAUCCCAUUAAAGUGUCCCCAUCACACUGUGGUGUCCCCAUUAAUCCAUGGUGUCCCCAUCCCCCCAUGGUGUCCCCAUCACCCCACAAUGUCCCCAUCCCACUGUGCUGUCCCCAUCCCCCCAUGGUGUCCCCAUCCCAUUGGGGUCUCCCCAUCCAUCCAUGGUGUCCCCAUCACCCCACAAUGUCCCCAUCCUUCCAUGAUGACCCCAUCACAUUAAAGUGUCCCCAUCCCCCCAUGGUGUCCCCAUGACCCCAUAAUGUCCCCAUCACCCCAUGGUGUCCCCAUCCCCCCACAAUGUCCCCAUCCCAUUAAAGCGUCCCCAUCACACUGUGGUGUCCCCAUCCCCCCAUGGUGUCCCCAUCACCCCAUAAUGUCUCCAUCCUUCCAUGGUGUCCCCAUCCCAUUGGGGUCUCCCCAUCCUUCUAUGGUGUCCCCAUCCCCCCACAAUGUCCCCAUCCCCCCAUGGUGUCCCCAUUACAAUGAGGUGUCCCCAUCACUCCAUACUGUCCCCAUCCAAUUGGGGUGUCCCCAUCCCCCCAUAAUGUCCCCAUCACCCCACAAUGUCCCCAUCCUUCCAUGAUGACCCCAUCACAUUAAAGUGUCCCCAUCCCCCCAUGGUGUCCCCAUCACCCCACAAUGUCCCCAUCCUUCCAUGAUGACCCCAUCACCCCACAGUGUCCCCAUCCCAUUAAAGUGUCCCCAUCACACUGUGGUGUCCCCAUCCCCCCAUGGUGUCCCCAUCACCCCAUAAUGUCUCCAUCCUUCCAUGGUGUCCCCAUCCCAUUGGGGUCUCCCCAUCCCCCCAUGGUGUCCCCAUUACAGUGAGGUGCCCCCAUCCUCCCACAAUGUCCCCCUCCCAUUAAAGUGUCCCCAUCACACUGUGGUGUCCCCAUUAAUCCAUGGUGUCCCCAUCCCCCCAUGGUGUCCCCAUCACCCCACAAUGUCCCCAUCACACUGUGGUGUCCCCAUCAUUUAUGGUGUCCCCAUCAUUUAUGGUGUCCCCAUCCCCCCAUGGUGUCCCCAUCACCCCACAAUGUCCCCAUCCCCCCAUGGUGUCCCCAUCCCCCCAUGGUGUCCCCAUCCCCCCCCACUGUCCCCACCCCAUAGGGCUGUAGGAUGAGUUCUACCCCAGGGAGGGGAGGGCGGGGGGGGCACCGCGCUCUGAGCCCCCCCAAAAGGGCUGACUGCAGCCCGGCUGUCCCCCCACCCCAUUGGGGUGUCCCCAUCACCCCACAAUGU